GUGCACCAGUCGCGAAUAGUCUACAAUGGACGAAAGUCUGAUAGUGCGACGCCGUGUGUGCGAUUAAUUCCUUCGGGAUGUAAAGCACUUUUCUAUGAGAUAAAAGCUCUUUAGGUUAAUAGCUUAUUGAGACGGAUAUUAUUAUAGGAAUAAGCUCCGGCUAACUCCGUGCCAGCAGCCGCGGUAAUACGGAAGGAGCGAGCGUUGUCCGGAUUUACUAGGCGUAAAGGGCUAGUAGGCGACUAAUUAAGUUAUAUGUUAAAUCCCACGGCUCAACUGUGGUCCUGCAUGUAAUACUGGUUAGAUAGAGUACUGUAGAGGAAGGCAGAAUUCCUGGAGUAGCGGUGGAAUGCGCAGAUAUCAGGAAGAAUACCAAAAGCGAAGGCAGCCUUCUGGGCAGUUACUGACGCUGAAUAGCGAAGGUGUGGGUAGCGAACAGGA
rnacentral:rRNA from 1 species